rnacentral:lncRNA from 1 species
UAGCGAUUUUAUAGUGGUUAUUCCACAGAUUUAGAGAGUAUUAUGAAGUUUUACUAAAUUAAUUGAAAAAAAAAUUAGAACGAUUCAAUAGACCAUGAAAAAGAGUUUAGCAUACAAUAAUACAAAUGUAGAAUGUGGUUAAAAAUUUUAAAACAACACUAAAGAUGAUUGGCUUCAGUAUAUAAAGCGUUUAACGUAAACUCAAUAUUUGCGUGGGUGUUAGUUAACACAUCGAUUUUGAGAAAAUUUCAAAAAAUACGAAAAUGUUAUUUUAAUGCAUAUUUGUAUCCUACACUAACAUAUGACGAUGGUCAAAGAGGUUUGGAGCCUUUGUUGUCUCCAUUUUUCUAGAGAAUAUCGAAUUUAUAAUAGUUAGUCCACUAAUUAAGAGAGUAUAUGAAGUUUUACUAAAUUAAUUUAUAAAAACAAUUGAACGAUGCUCAUUUAGCAUGAGAGAGAGGUUAGC